AACGAACGCUGGCGGCAGCCCUUACACAUGCAAGUCGAGCGCGCCUUCGGGUGAGCGGCGGACGGGUUAGUAACGCGUGGGAACGUGCCCUUCUCUACGGAAUAGCCUCUGGAAACGGAGAGUAAUACCGUAUACGCCCUUUGGGGGAAAGAUUUAUCGGAGAAGGAUCGGCCCGCGUUAGAUUAGGUAGUUGGUGGGGUAACGGCCUACCAAGCCUACGAUCUAUAGCUGGUUUUAGAGGAUGAUCAGCAACACUGGGACUGAGACACGGCCCAGACUCCUACGGGAGGCAGCAGUGGGGAAUCUUAGACAAUGGGGGCAACCCUGAUCUAGCCAUGCCGCGUGAGUGAUGAAGGCCUUAGGGUCGUAAAGCUCUUUCGCCUGUGAUGAUAAUGACAGUAGCAGGUAAAGAAACCCCGGCUAACUCCGUG
rnacentral:rRNA from 1 species